UUAAGCUGCGUGCUACAGCGAGGCUAAGCUAGUGGGGGCAAAGUUUCAGUGCAUUCCGUUGAUGUAGACGGCGUGAAAACGGAAACAAGUAUGCCGGCUCACUGUGCUGCAUACAGUUACACACUACGUCGUACGAUUGAGACAAGGAAACUUGGAAUGACUUUUCAUAGGUUUCCCAGAGACUAUGGGUUGAGGAGGAAUUGGAAGUUUGUCGGCUUAGACCUGGUGUCAUUCCAUCAGUGUUAAACUUCCCGGCUCAUCUUGGAAGAGUACGUGCCAGAAAGACCACGACCAAGCAGCCUUGAGAUCUUAGGCAGCGUCUCCCUCAGACCAAAGAACUACAGACUCUUCACAACCUGCUCAAACUCUUGGUACAGGACCUCACCACACGGGUCAAGAAGGUUUCCGUCUCAUUUCUACUCUGAAGCUCACCUUCUCCUGCUCAAACUGCUGACAAAUGUUUCUGCUGCUCUAAAGUCUGCUCUCCAGAACUUCCUAAAAACUCUCCAAGUCUCUUCUGCUGCAGGUUGCUUUGUAGAACUGUUCCAGAAAACCUCACUAAACCACAUGGACGGGCCUCAAGAAAGUCGUCCAAAUGAAACCGUACAAAAACCAAACUAGCACAACCCAAACGCUAAAGUCUCCUGCAGCCUACCAGAGAACCUCUGAGAACAGAGAAUCAGGACAGGAACUCUUACCUUCUGGACAAUCAACAUCGGUUCUCAAACAAGAAUACAGAAUGUGUCUGACCUAAAACCUCUAAAGACUCACUACAGCCAAGAUACAGACACAACUCAACUGUACCAAAUCCACUAAUCACUGCACACAUUAGCACCAUGUGCUAACUGUGGCUAAAGAACCUCAUUUACCAAGACAACUAUCCAGUACAAAGCCCUAAAACACACCAAGAAACACAUUAAAGACGAUUUCACUGCUGGAAGCUGCAAGCCAACGCCUAAAGAACAAACUGAAGCAACGGAGCCAAACCAUGUUCAAUGGUGAAGAGAAGCAGAGGAAAUGUUUGUCUGCAGCUAAAUAAAGCAGGAAGACACUGAGCUGCUCAGGUGUUCCUAAUAACACCAAGCAGCCACCUGGACAGCCAAUAGGAACACAGCUUCCUGGAAGUCCAGAGGGUGGGGUUAGUGAAGGAAAUUUAGUUUCAAGUUGAGGCAGAAAGUUAACAAAGAAAGUUGAAAACCACCUUCUGAUACCUGAAAUCUCUGAGUUUUCACACAAAGAAUGCCUGAACAUGUCAAACUGGUUCCAUAGUAGAACCAUCAUUGUAAAAACGUCAUAGUAUGGUGUGUUGCUCAAAAAACAUUAGGACCCGGCUGUCAGGGGACAAACAUGUAAGAAACAUGAGAACAGAGAGAACCCAACCAGUAGGUCACAGUUUAUCAUCCCCCAGUCAUCUCCUGAAGUCCAUAUGGUGAGAGACAUCAGUAUCUGGUUGUUAAUUUACCAGAGGAUGCUUAUAAUCAUGCUGAUGUGGUCUGUACUCUACAGUAUUUUAGUGACUCAAUAAAUGCCUAAGUUGUUUUUUUUUUUUAAAUGCUUUUCAGUUUUUAAUAAACAUUUAAUAGCCUAUAUGUAAUCAAUAAAUGGCCUUUGCCUAUCUUAAGAAAAACUCACUCAGAACUCUGAUAUGUUAACAGUACUAAAUAAAUCAAUAAAUACAUGCAUACACACAGAAAUAGGUUAAUACAUUAACUGUGUUAAGAUAAGAUUUAGAUUUUUUAAAAAAAGUUGUUUAUGUUUUUGCAGAAUCCAGUAUUGCUCACUGGUUGGUCAUUACAUUUUAUUAGUUUGAUUUCACUGUUUAAAAUGAUGCCACCUCUUUUCAGACAGAACCUGUGAUAAUAAAACAAUACAAAAUUUUUAGUUCCGUGUUAAUAAAGCACUUAAAGCUGUAAGUAUGGCUAAAUGCUUUUUUCAAAAUUAAAUAUAUCACUCCUUAGGUGGUAGUGACCCCAAGUUCAGUAAAGUUGGAAAGAUAUUCACAGAUUCGGGCUUCCAGCAUCAAUAACUCAUUAGAUAUAGGUUGUCAAAACAUAAACGGUGCCUCUUUCCCAUUGUUGCAAGGCAGACAAUGUGCUACAAGCCCAGUUUUAUCAAAAGUAGCUGUCUUUCAAGCUACAGGAAUAACAUUGGUGUCUAUGGAGUGAACAGGGUCCGUCUGCAAUUUGCAAAACCGCUGCAACAGUAAAGAGAGACAAAUAUUCAAUAACUUCACUCUUAUACAUUGUAGUGUCACUAAAAUCACUGCAGCCUUCAACUGGCUCCUGUUGACAAAGUGUUUUAACAGAAAUGUAAAUGCUGUAAUUUGAUUCUUUUAAUGAACCAUGUAACUUGAAUGGAUGCGAUGCUGGUGUGACCACAGUGCACACGUCUGAUGUUGCUCACAGUGGUCCAAGGGACGCUCAGGGAGUUUGUGUGUUUGCUCAGACUCAUGAAAAAUUAGAAGGAACAUUGUUUGGGACUCAAGCAGUUCCUUCUUUUACUCACUAUCUCCCCAGCCUUAGAAAAAAAAACCUGUUCACACGGCACAGAUGAGGCUGAGGUACACAGGAAAUGUUUGGCUCCAUUGUACAAGUUUGGGUAAACAGUUUUGUGGGUUGCCCAGUAAGCCAGUGGGUCUGCCGUUCUUUCUACAAUUGCAUUCGCUGUGGCGCUUUGCAUUUACCAGGCUCUACUUGCGUCUUCGUCUAAUAGGCUCCACAGUUGAACUGAAAAAUAUUGAAGAUCAUCAUCAUCAUCACCAGAAAUGUCAGUCAUUCUCUAUUCAGAAGAGAAAAAGAAUACCUGUGGAAGGUGCUGCUGGUGGUGGAGGACGAGGCUGUGGUGGUGCUUGUGACGUAGAUGACUGCUGCUUGGUAUUCUUUAUGUUAAUUGUUGUGCAUUCUGUUAUUAAACGUUCUUUCACACUGGCUGCCACUCUGAUUGGUGAAUCCAAAAGUUUUGAACUGCAGAGCCACAAGUGUAGCAACAGCCAGUGAACUGUUCUUUUCUUUGGUUUGUAGUCUGUCAGCUAAGCACCUGACAAGGUUCUGUGCCAGGUGUUGUGUCAUGGGGGUGGUAAGUUGGGAAUAUAUCUAUAUAUAUAAUCUAUCUAUCUAUCUAUCUAUCUAUCUAUCUAUCUAUCUAUCUAUCUUCUAUCUAUCUAUCUAUCUAUCUAUCUAUCUAUUCUCUACGAAAUACGAAAUCUGACAUAUUACUAACUCUCAAAGCAAAUCACAGCAACAACAGCAAAAAAACCAACCUACUCUGCGAAAAACAAUUCAAAUGAACAACACCAAAUAGGUAUCUCCUUUCCCGGAACACUCUCGAUCCCGCUGAGUGAGUCACAUAACAAACCGAACCAAUCAGGUGAUUCAAAGUAGUUGAGUGCUUCAAACGUCACUGAAGUGAUUCAAACGUCACGAGUCACGUGACCAAACCACGCCUCGGCACAGUGGCUCGAUAACUUUGCUUCAUGAGCUACAGCUAGUGAUGGCGAGAUGAAUCUUCAUGAAGCACUGAGGCUUUCCAUCCAAUUGGUUCACUCAUGGUUCGAAGCUCCAUGGUGCUUCAUUUGCUCUACUGCGCCAUCAACUGGACAAAUAACAGUAAAACAAGCAGAGUGCCUAUAAUGACACGAGCUUUGCUAUGUGAAGCUUUGAAUUGUGCUUAAAUGAUAAUGCCAAUAAACAAGUAAUAUAUUUAAUAUAGUGUCUGCUUUUCCUGAUAGCAGGGACAGAGGGGGAAAUGGAAACAAAUUGGGGAGAGAUUUGAGAUUGUAGCUUGACUGAUUGAUGUCAGGUUCCGGCUUUCUGUAAAGUGCUUAGAUGCUUUUAAUUGUAAUAAGGGCUAUAUAAAUAAAAUUUAUUGUGCUUUUGCUACUUGUUUUGUGACUGUGCGUGUGGUACCAGUGACAACCUGUAAAACAAAAGUAGGGACAAUAUUUUAUUUGUUUUUAUUCAAAAAUAUAAAUUUUUCCACAGUUCUGGGAUUCAGGCAGGUUCUUUUUUUUGGACAAUAUUUUUUUAGCUC